AUAGCCAGUGCAGUUUCGCUCCACAUUUCUACGCGGCAAGUUUUUUGCAAUGGGAAACGAAAUUCACGCUAUUUAUCACAGUUAUGAGAAAACCUCGCUCUGGCCAACACGUCUUCACGGUUUUAAUUAAACUCUUACAGUGCUUUGUGCCUAAAUUUGCUGGCAACACCACGUGCGCCCGGAAUAUUAUCCAGACGUGCCCACUAAAAACAUGUGUGAAUAACGUGCGCUUCCCGCCAGCACAUAUUCUGGAAUCUUGGAGAUAGAAUCGCACACAGCGGAUAUGAGCUCCCGGUACAUAAAGCAGUACCGAAGUAGCAGCGGAAAGGAAGAUGGAUUUUGGGUCCUGGAAAUUGGAAUCACGUAGUAAGAGGUGAUACGUUCGUACGCAGCGGACUGGGUAAGUGCAUAAACAACAUAAACCCAUGAAUUCCUCGCCAACACCUAUUAAUACUACUAAACUACAAACAUGUUAAUUUUUGUGUACGCAGCUAA